rnacentral:lncRNA from 1 species
GUAACAGCAGUCAUUGAAAAGAGCAAGAAGAGAACCCGAUAGUAAGAUUUCUCAUCAGAUAGAAAUGGCUUGGAAAUGGUUUCUGAUGUGAGUCAGCAAAGAGAUUUUCAGAAUACUGUCCAAAACAAGAAAUAUAUUAGCAUCUUGGACACACGAUGAUCUGAAAG